UUCAAAUUUUGUUCCUAAAUUGUUGGGAUAGCUCAGUUGGUAGAGCAGAGGACUGAAAAUCC
rnacentral:tRNA from 1 species